rfam:Vibrio genomosp. F6 str. FF-238 FF-238_contig_382, whole genome shotgun sequence.
AUUCCUACUGUCAUUGCCUGCAAGAAAACUCAUAUAAUGAUGGGCAGUGA